ensembl:lncRNA
CUAAACGCGUUUCUAGAUAAUUCUCUGCUCCACGUUCUCCUUUUUCUUCUCUGCUGCUGUUGUUUUUUUCCCUCCUGUUCGUUUUUAAACCUCCACCUUUCAGCCUUUCUUUUUCCAACCCCGUCUCCUCAGCGCCGCCGCUAUCUGCCUCCUCCCUCCUCGUUUCCUCCCUCCUUCACACCCUCGGGCACACGAUAAGGAACCAGCGGGAUUUAUGCUUCCUCUUCCCCUCUCCCUCCGGGAGAGAGCGCCGGACUCCCUCUGUGCGCCGGCCCGAUGGCGCCGCCUAGCGGAGAGCAAACACACGCCGGCGUUGUGUUAACACUUUGCACUUUGUGUAGAAGAUGGUGCGUACAUUUCCUUUCUUGCACAACGUCGAUCUGAUUACUGUGGAUUUUGAUCGUAUCACACAAUCUUUAGAAGUAAGAUAUCCUUCCAUUUUUUGAAGGAUAUCUUACUUCAAUUAGCAUAUAGUGUGUUGAUGCAUUUCUUACAGCUUUGUUGCGUUUAUCAAAGUACUAUUAAUGCUUUUUUAGGUGCUUUUCAACACAUUUUAGUGUCUUUUUAAGUCCGGUUCCAGUCACUAGUAAACUGUCAUUGCGAAAUCUUUUCAACUCUAAAACUGCACUCAAAUUCUAAAAAGUAAGACUCCAAAAAACAUGAAAUUCUUUUUCAAUUUCAUUUAUUAUUAUACAGCAAAACGCAGUAAAAGUACAUUUACAACACACAGAGAAAAACACACUUUGAAAUAAACACAACUCAACGUUAUAUAUUCAUAAACGCAGAGAAUCAAAG